AUUGAACGCUGGCGGCAUGCCUUACACAUGCAAGUCGAACGGCAGCACGGGAGCAAUCCUGGUGGCGAGUGGCGAACGGGUGAGUAAUACAUCGGAACGCGCCCAGUAGUGGGGGAUAGCCCGGCGAAAGCCGGAUUAAUACCGCAUGAGACCUGAGGGUGAAAGCGGGGGAUCGCAAGACCUCGCGCUAUUGGAGCGGCCGAUGUCAGAUUAGCUAGUUGGUGGGGUAAAGGCCUACCAAGGCAACGAUCUGUAGUUGGUCUGAGAGGACGACCAGCCACACUGGGACUGAGACACGGCCCAGACUCCUACGGGAGGCAGCAGUGGGGAAUUUUGGACAAUGGGCGCAAGCCUGAUCCAGCAAUGCCGCGUGCAGGAAGAAGGCCUUCGGGUUGUAAACUGCUUUUGUCAGGGAAGAAAUCCUCUGGGUUAAUACCUCGGGGGGAUGACGGUACCUGAAGAAUAAGCACCGGCUAACUACGUGCCAGCCGCCGCGGUAAUAC
rnacentral:rRNA from 1 species